rnacentral:rRNA from 1 species
GUCUAGGGCCAUGCUACCCUAAACAAGUCUGAUCUUGGAAGCUAAGCAGGUUUGGACCUGGUUAGUACUUGGAUGGGAGACUACCAAGGAAGACCAGGUGCUAUAGGCG